rnacentral:snoRNA from 1 species
CUGCGAAUAUUCUCGCUGUCUUGAUUUUGUGAUAAUCAGGGCAGGCUAAACAUUCGCUAUAGUAAGACCAUGCAUGUGUCCCCAGGCCCGGGUCUUUUCCUAGGUCUGGUUUUAUAAAUGCUGGUGAUAAAA